rnacentral:rRNA from 1 species
ACGCUCGACACCUACGGGAGCAGCAGUGAGGAAUAUUGGUCAAUGGGCGCUAGCCUGAACCAGCCAAGUAGCGUGAAGGAUGAAGGCUCUAUGGGUCGUAAACUUCUUUUAUAUAAGAAUAAAGUGCAGUAUGUAUACUGUUUUGUAUGUAUUAUAUGAAUAAGGAUCGGCUAACUCCGUGCUAGCAGCCGCGGUAAUCUGAGCGGGCUGGCAAGGC